rnacentral:rRNA from 1 species
CGGGGUGCACCAGGCGCGAAACCUCUGCAAUAGGCGAAAGCCUGACAGGGUUACUCUGAGUGAUUCCCGCUAAGGGGAUCUUUUGGCACCUCUAAAAAUGGUGCAGAAUAAGGGGUGGGCAAGCCUGGUGUCAGCCGCCGCGGUAAUACCAGCACCCCGAGUGGUCGGGACGAUUAUUGGGCCUAAAGCAUCCGUAGCCGGCCACGCAAGUCCUCCGUUAAAUCCACCCGCUCAACGGUUGGGCUGCGGAGGAUACUACGUGGCUAGGAGGCGGGAGAGGCAAGCGGUACUCAAUGGGUAGGGGUAAAAUCCUUUGAUCCAUUGAAGACCACCAGUGGCGAAGGCGGCUUGCCAGAACGCGCUCGACGGUGAGGGAUGAAAGCUGGGGGAGCAAACCGGAUUAGAUACCCGGGUAGUCCCAGCUGUAAACGAUGCAGACUCGGUGAUGGGAUGGCCUCGAGCCAUCCCAGUGCCGCAGGGAAGCCGUUAAGUCUGCCGCCUGGGGAGUACGGUCGCAAGACUGAAACUUAAAGGAAUUGGCGGGGG